GACGAACGCUGGCGGCGUGCUUAACACAUGCAAGUCGAACGGUGAAGCGCUUGCCUUUUUGGUGGGUGUGGAUGAGUGGCGAACGGGUGAGUAACACGUGAGUAACCUGCCCUCUUCUUCUGGAUAACCUCAUGAAAGUGGGGCUAAUACGGGGUAUUCCGGGUCUGUCGCAUGGCGGGUUUGGGAAAGAUUGCGCCUUUGGGUGUUUUCGGUGGGGGAUGGGCUCGCGGCCUAUCAGCUUGUUGGUGGGGUGAUGGCCUACCAAGGCGGUGACGGGUAGCCGGCCUGGGAGGGUGGACGGCCACACUGGGACUGAGACACGGCCCAGACUCCUGCGGGAGGCAGCAGUGGGGAAUAUUGCACAAUGGGCGCAAGCCUGAUGCAGCGACGCCGCGUGAGGGAUGGAGGCCUUCGGGUUGUGAACCUCUUUCGCCAGUGAAGCAGGCCUGCCUCGUUUGUGGGUGGGUUGACGGUAGCUGGAUAAGAAGCGCCGGCUAACUACGUG
rnacentral:rRNA from 1 species